AGUAGAUACUGUAAUAGGUAGCAUCUAGUUAAGCUGUGUUCUGUUGCAGACACUUUCUUGGCGCUUAACGCUAUGAUUAAGGAUUAUUUGAGACCGCUCAAAGCUCUGUUUACAUCUCGCUCCAUUCAUUCAGAAAGUAUUUCAAAAGCCUGUUGCUUCAGCUUUCUAAUUAUAUGAGCUACACAGUUAUAAUUUAAAGAGCCUGUCUUGUCUUGAUAAAUAAGUCGACAAUCUAUUUAUUGGUGUUUCCAAGUGUGUGUUUGCGUGUAUGAGUGUGUGUUUGCGUGUAUGAGUGUGUGUGUGUGUGUGUGUGUGUGUGUGCUGAUAUUACAGGGUUUGCAAACAGGAGGACUGGCUGUACACCAAGAGGGGAGCGCGUCCUACACGGGGCUGGACCACGAGGGCUGAAACCACCUUACUGCCCCAAUCCGGACUCCCUCCUCCCAACCCAACCUGCCCCUUGCUCCUCAACCCGCCCAGUCCACUGCCAGUACCAGCUCCCCUCCUCCACUCACAGCUCAGUCACUCACCCACUCUCUUUUCUCUCUCCUGCUGUGUGCCAGUACCUCUCUCCCUCUCCACUUCCUCAAAGUGGCCACAGCUCCUCUCUUUUCUCUUGUCCUCUUUACAUCCCUUCACCACUUUCUUUCAUCCUCCAGCUGUGAGAGCAACCCGGCUCUGCCUGUUCGUCUUCACCUCUCCAAGCUAAACAGAUCUCAAGCCGCUGCUUCCCCCUGAAGACUUUAUUUUCAUUCUUGAUCCUUUUUCUUUGUGGCUCUUUCACCCUUCCCCUCCGGAGAGGCUGGUCGGUGUGUCUGUUGUGUGUGCAGCAGCGCGUGCGAGGGCUCUGGUGUUGUGCUCUUUGCCCUGAGGGAGUCCCUAAAGGUUGUGACUAGAGGAGAAAAGUUUUUCACCAUGAUGAAUGUUCAACUGCUGCUCCUGUUGGCCCUGGCUGGCCCUUUCUGUGCCUUCACACAUGCAAGCCCCACAGAGAUCCCUUCAGACCUCGAUGUUAGUGUAGGAGUUACAGAGGCUCCAAAAGAGGACCUUACUAUUAUCACCGGUCCUCCUGCAACCGAACCAGCGGCGGUCCCUGCAGAAGUUGUAACGGUAACAGUUGCUAAUGAAGAAGUCGUAACAGAAGAAGCAACAGUGGUCACAGAGUCGGCGCCUCCUGCCGUUACAGUCAACAUUGAAGAGGCCGUCGUUGACACAGAAGCCCCCACUGUUGCUACUCAAGCACCAGAAGCCCUCAUCACUGACCCCCCUGUAGUGGAAACCGGAGCCCCCACUUCUGAGGUCGACGUCCAACCGACGGAAGCCGCCAAGGCAGAGACGGGCGAAGAGGUGGUCGUUGAAGAUGACACAGAUGAGGGCCUGAGUUCUGGCCAGGUAGUCGGCAUCGUGAUUGGCGCUCUGUUGGUAGUGGUCAUCGUCAUCGCCGUGGUGAUUGCUGCGGUGAGGAGGAUGGGAAUAUACUCCCCUUGAAGAAAAAGUCGGCCAAGCAGCAGGAGCACCCGAAGUUCUGGAAAUUCUGAACUACUGAACUGUGACGUCAUUCGCGAUCAUUAAAACAAGCACGAUACCAGAACUAAACUAAUGUAACCAGGACUCUGGACUGUUGUCAAAAAAGAGGGGGAGGGAGACUUGUGUGUGUUAAUGUAUGUACUUUAUGUAUGUGAGACAAAAACAUCCUCACCUCCCCCCGCUACCUCCUUGAUCCCCCCCCCCCUCCCCAGGAGCCGCUGAUAUAAAAUGCUCUGUCCCCCCCCUACUCCCUCGGAGAGAACAAAACGAGGUGACAUCAGGAUGUCACACAGAAUUUCAGGCCUUUUUGCAAAUGUAUUUUGUUAAGAGAAAAAAAGAGUAGGAAAGGUAGGGGGGGUAAUCUGACACUUAGGGAAACAAUCUCUCUCCUUUAAAGAGUGGCUGAUUUAGAUUUGCAUGGAAGUUUGAGAGGACAUAAAAAUGGAAAAUACUGACAAUACAAAAGAAAAUGAAAUGCACAUGGAAGGUGAGAGCAGGAGAGACUGCUAUAAAUUCCACAGGAUGUAUAUACAAUGCAAGGGGACUACAUAGUAUACAGCUAAUGACUUUCUCAUACAAUAUGUUGCAGUUGCAUAGGCUAGCGUUUGAUAUUAUGGAAGAAUACACAGUGCAUACAGCCUGAGGCGAUUGUUGUGGCUAACCCCUGAGCACCAGUUAAACACAUUAUCUCAUAUAGCCAGAAAACCCUGAUAUGUUGGCCAACUGUAUGAAGCAUCAUGUGCAGAAGUUGUUUUGACAUAACACACUCGUGAGCUCUUGGGGGCUAGCAGAAAAGAAAAGGCACCCUCAUUUAAAAGAGUAACGUGACAUUCUGCCCACUUUAACACUGACAUAUAAAAACCUAAUACAUAUCUGUGAAAUUUAGCAGAAGGGUUUGUGCCACUGUCUCUGGUAUUCUCUCUUAGGGGGAUUUUAACUUUUGAAGUGCAUUAUUAAUGUGAAUUACUUUUUAACUGCCACCCAUUCCAAAAAGAACAGCUUCUUCUGACUCGUUUCUUAUAAAGGCUUACACACAGCCAGGUUAUUAGACAUUUAGUGAUAGCAUUGUCUUGACAAUGUAUUCAUAGUACUUCUGUUAAUAGUUAGAUUACCAGAACAGCCAUCCGGUCUUUAAAUUGAGCUAACCCCAGAUUGCGUGCACAGGAUGACAUUUUAUAGUUGCACUUAUAGUUUUAGUGCACAGUGUUAGGCAGUAAUGCCCUGUUUUGUUAUUUUUGCAAGUGUGCUAAAUGGGUGUACAAAUAAUGAAGUCUCAGCUUCGCUCCGCUUGCUUUACAAACUCGUUUAAUAUGUGCACUGAAUGAGUGAUGUAAUGUUUAAUGAAUAGGCUUUUAGACACUGCAAAUGUUUGCAACGACAUGUCUUUGUUUCCUCUCCUCUGCUUUGCCACAUAUUAUCAGUUCUAGGUCUUUAAUUUGUGCCAUCUGAUUUUUUGAACCCUUUUAUUUAAUUGCAGUGUUUUUGUUCAUACUGUUUCAAUAAAAAACUGAAAACACUCUGAAAGCUCUCUUUUGUGUAUGGAAAUGUCUCGAUAGCACUUUCAAAUAUCCGUUUAUUGUCCUCGCCGUUUCCUAUCAGUUAGAUUACGUAGUGACUGAACACUGUAUUCAGUCUUGAGUCAGGCAAAAAUACUUGUGACGGUUAAAAUCUCAGACACUUAUUUUCUAUUUGCAAUUGCACUUCUCACACAUCAUUAACAAGCUUCCACACGGGCAACGGUCCACUCUGAUUGGCCCGUUUAAGUAAUGUUUCAAAUAAAAACAAAAACAACCCCUUUUCAGCAGGGAGACCAACAGCACCAAAUAUGGAGGAACAUAUGGCCUCGGACCGUUGAGGCGGUUGAGCCCUCUGACAGUUAGGUGUGUUUUUUAUGUCAUGUUGUGG
ensembl:lncRNA fibrous sheath CABYR-binding protein-like